rnacentral:lncRNA from 1 species
UCCUCAUUCUUCGUCUCUUUCAGAGACUGAACAAAAAACCCUAAAGCCGCCCUGAUUUCUCCACUCUGGCCGGCGGCGCCAGUCCCAAAUUACUCCAAAUCAACACCACAGAAACCUUAUACCCUCCUCUUCCCUAAUCUUCAAUUCUUUUCCUUCGAAUCCCUGUGGAGCUUCUCGAAUCUUAAAUCAAAGAUUCAAGCCCUAAAAGCCCAAAUCCAAAUUCAUACAUACAAGGCUGUUCCUCCAACUUUUCUUAAUUCUUCAAGGUCAGUUUUGUCACAAAAUAACGUUGUUCGCUUGUUCUUGACAAAGAACAAGCGAUUGAAAUCAUUUGAGGAUUAAAUCGGAAUAUCAGUCGCGAGUUCGAGUCUGGGUCGGUGAGUUCCUUCUUUCCUUGUGUUCAUUCUUGUGUUCUUUCAGCCUUCUUUCCUCUUCUCCUCUUCUCUUUUGCUUUGGAUAAUUCAAUUGAAAAUUGACCAAAGUUUCUGGCCGAGAUGGAGUAUUAUCCGUUUGUUCCUUGUUAGUUUUCUUUUCCAAGUCUUGUUAUGUGAUAUUGUUUGGUCUGUUUAAUUUUCCUAUUAGUAGCAUGACUAAAUUUCUGAUUUCAUCCUGUUUGUUCAGCCUUUUAGGUUAACUUAAUUAGGUUUAUUUGAUAACUUAGUUCAAUUCCGCAUUUUAGUUUAGGUUUUUAGUCUUGUGAAAUUGUUUAGUUAUUUUCUUACUGUUUGCCAUAAUUUGCUCAAUCUGGUUCAAUUCAUUUUGUUGUUUGAGCUCUGAAUCCAUUUUAGAAUUUACUCCAUGGGACGUGAAUUUAGUUUUGAGUCCAGGCCUAGUUUAACCAUUAGGUCAUUUGACCCAUGACCCAUUUGAUUUCCUGAGGUAAAAACAGAGUACUUGAGGGGUAAUUUAGGAACUCUAGGUAGAGGAAUCUCUGAAUAACUGAUUUGAGAAGCUUCUAGGAAGAGGGGAGGGAGACUAUUCUGAAAUUAUUAUUUUAAAAUUAAGGGUACUUGAGCAAAAACCAAAAUUGAAGAAGGUUUUCAAAGCAAAAAUCAAAAUUAGAAAAGGUCCUAAGGGCAAAAUUAAUUCAAUCUCUGCAGCCCUAAUACAUUGCCUAUAAAGUCUUCAUUACUUGGUAUUCAAGUCAGAACUUUAGAGAUAAAAAAGACCCCUGAAAAACAAAAACGGCUGCACUCUGAAUUCCUGGCACAUUCCUGGUUGAAAGCUACUAAAUUGUUGCUGGUUUUGAUUUUCUGAUCCUCAUUGCUUAGUUAAAAUUACAGAAAAGUUCCAUAGUUGUGCAUCUGGGUGGAAAAAAGGAUUGAGUCUAAGUUUAGAAGUCUGAUUCGAGUUGUUUGGAGUUGGUUUGAAGUCUGGGUUUGUUUCAGCUGGUUAAGCACUGUUACAUUGUUGCUGGUACUGCUUUGCUGUUGCUGACCUUUCAUUGUUCUUACUUUCUUGCUUUCUAGGUUUCUUGGAUCUUUUUAGCCUAUGAAGUACAAGAUGUGAAGCUUUGUAACUGAGAUGCAAUUCAAGACCAUUAGUGUUCAAUUAAUGAUAUUUCAUAUUUGUAGUUUUGUGUUAGCUUAGUUUCUUUGAAUAUUUUCAUUUAUCCAGUCGUGAUUGGUUUGAAAUCUGAUUUGUAAAUCUGGACAGACAUUCUAGUUAGUAUGCUGGUGUGUUAAAUAAUUUUGGAAUUUUGUUCUUAUGGAGAUUAAUUGGGUACUUGCGAUAGGGGUUAAUUGAGGUGAAUAACAUGUCUUUUAUUAGGAUGGGUUUGAACUGUUUUUGAGCUAGCAUUGAAUGUUCCUAUGAGCCUCUGCCAUGUUACUGAUGCUUAGUGUAGGAUUUGAUAGACGGACAAGAAUGACCUAAUGUGAAUCCUAGUUCAAAUGUUUAAGGGGUUCUGUCAUCAGAUGCUUUGGCUGUAGAGAUUCAAUUUGAGUAAACAAGGGCUUUGGUUUGAAGCCAUAUAUGUCUUAUGCAUUUCUUUGAGCUUGUUAGUGGGCUUAGCCAAUCUUGAACAUGUCAAUGGUCUCGAUCAAUUUGUUCUCUGAAAGUUGUGC